UAAGUUUAAAGUCUCGUGAUGAAAGUAAUAUGAAUAUUGAAACUAUCAGGGAACAUAACAUAAAUAGCCUAUUUUACUUUUUUUUUUUUUUAAGAUGUAUGUCCUUAUGGAACUAGUUUUUCUUUGAUGAAUAUCUAUAAAUUCAUAUCAGAUUUUAGUCUCCAGAGUUAAUUAAGGUAAGUGAAUCAGAUCCUCCCAGGAUAGGGGCUCUCCUUUCUGGGAGGAAGCUAAGCUUUUUUGGAAACUGCAUUAACUCUCUCAGGCCAGUAGGAGAGCAUAAAGUGAGCUUCAGUGGUAAUUUACUAAAUGUAGUUGCACAUAUGGUCCCACAUUUAGUAAAUUACUAUGGAGCAAAAGCUGCCCUAAUGGCCAGAAGAAGCAGUUUGCAAAAAUGCCUCAACUUGUAUCUACAGCACACUAAUACAACCUACUGAUCAUUUCACUUAUUUGGGACAGACAUUUGGAAAGGCUUAAAGAACAAUAGCAGACAAUAUAGCUUAUUGUUGUGUGGGUGUCAUAUAGAUAGAACAUAUAUGUUAAGGAAGAUUUUCUAUUCUAAAAAAUUUUGUCGCGUUAUGUUUAGGUUCCAGAAAGAGAAACCUGCCAAGAUAUUUUCUGUUUUUUUUGUGCUUUAAUUUAGGUUAAAUGAUGGGGAGAGAAGUUAUUUAUUCUAGGAAUGCUAAUAGAAUUGCCAUCUUCAUUUGUAAACAUUUAAACUAUUUACAUAUUAAUGGUUCUUGGAGAUCCCAGAACUCAAUUCCUAUGGAUUUCCAUCUUUGAAGAUUGAAUUAUAAUCAAUUGAAAAUUGUCUUUUUGUCUUAUCAUUUUUUUUUUCUUUUGAAAUACAAAAGCCUUACUUAUAUGUAGUAUAUGGCUCAUUCAGUUCAUAAACUAUUUUGUUCUUUAUGGAUUAACUUUUUGAAGGAGUAGAAUUGUUAAUUAUUUUUUCUACUUUUAAAGUGAAUUUCCAUAUGAUAGAAAUAAUAACUAUAAACUAUUUUGUAUCAUUUCCUAUAGAAUAUUGGAGCAAAAAGCUGAGCCUUAAAUGUGAAAUUCACUAUGUAAAUGGAAUGGGGCUACAAGGAAACAAAGGAAAACAAGAUUGUGAAAACCUGAUUUCAAAGGCCACAAAUUUAGAAAUUAUUAAAGCUACAGAGGAUUUGAUUUUAGUUUUGAGAAGCCCUGAUAGUUAUAUUUGUCAGGGAAAUUCAUCUGACGAUCAGGAACAUGUAAUGACAAUUUUCACUAAGUUUGUGUGUGUGUGUGUGUGUGUGUGUGAUUUUGCUUUUCAGUAGUCUUUUGUUAAUUUUUCAUAUCCUAUAAAAAUAGAGCUAAAAUCAAGGUUGCCCCAUCUGUCAUCUAAUCUCAGUGUCUUAAAAUAAAUCUAAUAACAGGUUUUAUUUUUGAAAUUCACUACAAAAGUUAAAAUAUUAUAUUGAUUUGAUUGUCUCACACUACUGCAUUGAUUUGAAGGGUGUUCUUAAGACAAUCACCCUGUAAAUGAGUAAUGUCUAAGCUGCCUCUCAUGUCAAGUUGAACUAGUUAGCCAAUUCAUAAUUUUGUCAGAAAUACCAAAUCAACCAAUUUUAAUUUCAUCAGAAUAGAUUAAUAUUACAUAUACUUAACAUUUAAUUGUCAAAUUAUUAUUAAUAAUCUAUAUGACCUAUGUAUUUAGUGAAGAAAGGACAUAAUUUUUAAAUAAAAUGUUCAAAUAGAAGUUGACUGACCACUAGACUUCUAAGGUAGAGUCAUAACCUUGUUAGAAACUGGUAUGUGACCUUGGAGUCACACAUGGAGUGACUAAGUUCACAUGCAAAGGUAUAGUAACUUUAUCUCUCUGGACCCCCAUUUUCUCACAUAUAAAAUGUGGAGUUUGGAUUAAAUGAUUGCUAAUGUUCCUUCCCAGUGAAAUAUUUUAUAAUUCUAUGAUUAUAUUUACUAAGGAUAUAGAAAUGAUCUAUCCGUAAGGUUAGAGCCGGACUAGAUGAUCCAAAAGAUCCCUUCAAGCUUUAGGAUUUUUCAGGACUCUAUAAUCUAUAGUCUGUUGCUUAAUUUAUUUAUUUGGUAAAUUUACUAUCUUAAUAAAAGAAGAAAAAUAAAAUGGAUAAUUUGCAUUUUGCUAUUUUCAUAGAUUAAUGAAUUAGAACAGAAAUGCAGGUAAUAUAUAAUCUGCAAAUUGAUAACUAAUCAUAAUGAUCAUUUGUCAUGCAUGUAAUUUUUUUUCCCUCACUGUUUGAUUUCAAAAGGAGGGCUUGUGUAAAAGUGUUGAUAUCUUUCUCCAGCCUCCUUUUUUCUAUUUAUUGCAAAUGUCUUUAGUUAUCUCCAUUAAGGGAUUCACAAUAUUUUAAAUAAAUGACAGCCUCUCAGUUUCAUAAUUUGCCAUACUUUCAUAAUUUGCCAUACUUUCAUUUUCUAAUUUGAAAGACACAUUGGACUGACAGCUAAACUUUUGGCAAUGGGUCAAUGUUCUUUUCCCAAAUCAAUAUGUCUGGAUCUUUUCUGUAGACCUUCUAGUAUGAAAAUAUAGUCACCUAUACUUGCAAAUAAAAGGAUAUUUUAUUUUGGCAUUGGGGUACAAUAUAUCAUCCAAGUAACAUUUAACACUAAACUUAAUAAAGUAAUUUCUAAAAAAAGAAAAAUGUCCUUGACAAUAUUUCACAUUCACUUUGAAAUGUAUAGGUCUCUGUAUAUUUAUAGGUCUACAUGAAGUUUGUAAUAUUUUUGUUUCUUUCUUUUUUUUUUUUUUUUUUUUUUACGGUUUUGUAAUUUUACAUCUACAUUUCAUCCUUAGAAUGAAAAACUUGUACAUAAUGAUUUAUAGUUUUCUAACUAUUAUUUUUUUCCACUAAAAAUCUAUAUCCUUACUAAAUAUGGAAAUUUUUCUCUUCACUAAACUGACAAUUUUCACACAAAGAACUUGUGCCUCCUGACAAUGUAACCUGAGAAUUUCAUUUUUCUCCAAAAGAAUAUUUCAGGAAUGAUAAUAUAUGUGUUCUGGAUUCUUUGUAAAUGGAUUUUAAAUGUGUCAAAAAUAAUUCUAUUUAUAUCCUAUAUUAUAGCUGGAUUCUUUUAUGCAUGCAUUGAGCUCUCACAUAAGCUGCACUUUGUUGUGACUACAAUAAGUAAGUGAUUGAAUGCAUUACUAAACUACAUAGUUUGAUCAAAAACUUGUUUUCUUUUGGGAAAAUAGAAAACAUUUUCAGGAGCAUAUAGGUAGGUGAUUGUAUAUGGGUAUUAUAUUUUACUUUCUGAAUUCAAUACCAUUUUAAGUGUAUUUGUUGAUAGGGAGUUAGGGCCUGAAGUUAAGGUGGAUUAUCUAUUGUAUAAGUUCACAUUGUCAUAUUUUCAUUAAAAAAUUAAAAUUAGACCAAAAGUGA